CAUUUACAAACCAACUUAUCGAUCCAGCGCGUGGAAACAUUUUGGCUUUUGCAAACACGGAGGUGUUCUAAAUAAGUCGGUCGCUGUUUGUAGAAUACCAAUACAGGUUAAUUGGUUAACCCAUACAAAUGACCACUUCCUUGAACCACAGUAAAGCAGUACACUGUAAAAUGUCAUUGUUGACCUUACUUAAAAAAAUGAGUGCCCUUAACUCAUUUCUGCCGAAUUUGUUGACCAUACUAAAGGAAACUUAGUAAAGUACACUUUCUGCUCUGGAAAGUUAUGAAACUUAUGAUUUCAAGUAACGUUUACUUAAAAGAAUGUGUAUCGAAGAACUUUCCCCAAAACCCAGAGAUACUCGGCUGCACUCGGCUCUAAUACGCAUGCGCACUUGACCACCGAAGACGUGAUUUCCUUUGAAGCGGCAGCUGGAAGUGGAAAAAAAGUGCUGCUCGGUCCAGAAGGUAAGUUUCAGCUAACGUUACAUGAUCAAAUGUUACCGUUUACUGGCACCGUUCUACCUAGCAAACGUCCAUUUGCCAUAUUCUUCACCUGUUAGUUAACGUUAGUUUUGGGGGUUUAACUUUAUCUCUUCGAUUUUCAAAGCUAACGUUAGCGGUUAACAUUUAAGCUAACGUUAGCUUGACCGUCAGUGUGGAACCUUCUAGAAAUGUAAUGUUAAAUAUAACAACAACUUGCGUUUCAGAAAACUCGGAAUGCUUAUUAGCAGGUUCAAAGAUAAUUUAUGUUAAGUCAAUCUUUCAGAAACAUGUAUUAACUUGUUUAACGUCCGACAGGAGGUAGCAGUUAUCAACGUAAUAACGAUUAAACAACGGGGCCGCCUAACGCGCGCGCGUAAGCUCUCCAUCUUCCUGCAAACAAUUUCAGGGGGGCCAGAUAAAAUUAGUGAAAUGUUAAAAUCUUCCAUUAAACAGAUGGCUAGUUAGCGGUAAACGUGCUUCUACAUGGGUUAUUUACAGUUUGACUGAUUGUUUUUGUUGUUUCUUUUGCAGCUUUGCAGAACACAUGUAAAUGGAAGUGUUGGCCAGCAACUUGAGGAAUAUCUGCAACAAGUCACUCCGGCAAGUACAGAUGUUACUGGGAUGCAAACAGCAGUCCUCCGUGGCCUUCCUGUCAUCCUUGGAGAUGAGAAUACAGACUUCUUUAAGACAUGCUUUGACUCUCGAGACAUGUCUCACACCUCCAUGGGGAUCCUGACAGUGAUUGCCGAAGACGGUGCCGCCUCUCUUCACUCACUGCACCUUGAAUCCACAACUACUGCCGUCAUUUUGGAAGGAAUUAUAUUUCCCAUCAAAAUCUGCCACAUCCCAUGUGUCUGCUACCCUCAGACACCGAGGAACAUCUUAGGGUUUGUUCAUAGAGUGCUUCUCUCACUUGAACUAAAAUCCCUCAAACCCAAACUACAAUCACUCUAAAACCUACUAAUGCAGUGAGGAAUUGUCUUCAUGAUGUUUAUGGUCUGUCACAUGCUGCGUUAGAACUUCACCCUUACUCUUUACUAUGGAAAAUGUUUUGUUCAUGUUGUCCAGACAUUGUCCAUCUAUUUGUUACAAACCAUAGUCCUAAUUUUUCAUGUUGCAAGGCAUGCUAUUUUCAUAUUGUGAGUAAUUGCAUGAUUUACGCAAACGUUUAGUUCAUUCUAAUGUUUGAAUACAACAAACAAUUAACAGAACAUUGAUUCAUAUUUAAUUAAUUGCCUUUGGUCUUACAGUUAAAUUGGAUAGGACCGACUUUUUUAUCUGUGGGUGUGGUGGCAUCUUUCAAAUUCCAUUAGCAUAAGAGAGGCAAUCAGGUUAUUUUAUUGAGAUGUUAAGAUAUUGACCAAAAUGUCCACAUUUCAAAACAUGUCAUAAUUGUUUUAAUUUUUAAUCACGCUUUAGAUUAAGAAAAUAUGUGAGGAACUUCAUUAAAAAUGAACUUUGUCAUUGCAUUAUAACUGCUUGUUCAGCUUGCUUGAAAGUUUUAAGGCAAUCGGUUUCCUGAUUAUUUCUUAGUAAAGGGAAUAGUUGGAUUAGUAAAGUUAACUUUUUAUUAUUAGUACAGUUUACUAAAUAUAACUCAGAUCUUUAAGUUGUCUGAACUGACUUAUUUAUUGUCAACAUAAUUAAGCGUUUUAAGUUAACUAUACUAAUGUUUACUGCAGUUACAUGAGUUGCCUAAACUCAGUUAUUUUCAGUAUUAACAACUUAAUUAAUGAGCGACUUUACUUAGAAAUUUUGAGGCAAUCGGUUUCCUGACUUUUUUCAGUCAACUUAAAACUUAAGUCAACUUAUUACAUUUUACAGUGUACAUUAUUUGGUUUUUUAAUUGUUUUUAUGUACAAAUUGUAUGCAUGACAUGAAUAAAAACAAUGCAAACUUCUAAUUAAACGCUCUUGGUCAUUACUUCAUAUGUUACAAACAUUUCAGGAUAUAUAUAUGUACACGCGUAGAGGUGGGUGGAGAACACGGAGCACACGGACAACACGGAGGCAUGACAUUGAAGUUCCUUCAAAAAGAGGAACAAAGACUUGCUAUCCACCGUUUAUUGGGGGUGGAGAUUACAGAACAUGUGCUUUGAAUAUUUUCCAAAACGGUUGUUGUAACAAACCUGCAACACAUUGUAGGAUUUUUUUUCUUAACAUGUCUAUAAUGUGACUUGAGUAAAAUAUGUAGACAUUGUGGUACAUGAUGUAAAAGUUGUUAUUUUCUCUUAAACUUCAUGAUAGGCUGCAAGUUGUUGAGGAAAUGUAUUGUGAACAGCUCACAAGAGUUGAAUCAACAAAGAAGGAGCCAAUUUGACUUCUAUUUCUAGAAUGAUUUUGAGAAAUAGAAGUCAUUCAAAGAGUUCAAAAUUUCAUUCUUCUUCAUAUUCAGUUAGCAGGACUGUGCAAAUGGUACACUUGAAACUAAAAUUAAGAAAAUAAUGACUAGAACAUAAAGAAUUCGGAUCAGGUUUAAAUUUGCACAAAAUAACUUCGCCCCAAAGAAUCACCAGGAGACACACACACACACACACACACACACACACACACAGACACACACACACGCGUAGGCACCCCAUUGUGCUUCUCUAUUCAACAGCUGACCAGGGAAUCCUGAUCUUUCAACACAUCUGGUUCCAUGAGCAGUCCGAUCAGAGGAACUGCAAUAUUCAGAGGAUCAAGGAGCGGAUCUAAAUCACACGUCAAUGACAAGGAAGUAUACACUCAUGCAUAAUCUCAAGCUAUUACUAUACACCACUUUCAGAUUAAGAAAUGUGACAGAAACUCCUCAUUUAAAUGAAUUAAUUGAUUUAGACGCAUACAAUCAAAUACCUACGGUUGAUAUUAUUGUGAGUAAAUCAAGCCUCUUGACUGUUACAGUUUGGGAUCAUUUCCUGUUUUAUUUAGUAGUUUCUUGCCUCUUGUCUCCCUGGGUAACUUCACUUCCUGCCUUGUCCUGUCCUCCCCUGUGAUUGUCUGCCGUGUCAUGAUUGUUUCCACCUGUGUCCAAUCACCUGCACCUCCCUAGUGUAUUUAAGCAGUGUGUGUCUGUCGUCACUUGUCGCGUCAUUGUUGAAUGUUCUGGAUGAGCCAUGUUGUUGGAUGGUAACAGUUGGAGGUCCAUGUCUGUGUGUCCCUGUGUUCUGUGUGAGUUUUUGCCCCUUGGCCCUUUUGCUUUUGACUAUUAAAGUCCCUUUUUGUUUGGAAAACUCUGCGUUUGAGUCCUACCUUCCCUGCCUUCUACGCAUCCCGUGACCCUUGAUUUAGUCCAGAGACACUAAUUUGGUCAUAAUGUUCAAACAUUUCCCUGAAAUAGAACUAUAGGCAGAUAGAGACAUUCAGAUUCAACAUCUGGACUGACUGUGAAAGAGAAAAUCACCGUUCCAUGAAAUUGUGCUUAGGAUCUGAAAGACUCGCCUCUACACGGCACGGAAGAGGAGAGCCUUUCAAAGGAAGGCAAAGGAAAGCAAAGGAAACCGUGGGCAACGCCUGGACACCCGUCAUCUCGCAGAGAGGAAGGACUUCCAGAAGGAAGCACCAGGACCGACCUGAGAAGCAAGACCAGCAUCGAUCCAAGAGGACCAGAAGAAAGACUAGGACCAGGGGCGGAUCUACAGGGGGACUGCGGAGGGUGCGCUGGUCCUGCAACCCGACUGGAGAGACUGAGCUGCCCCAGAGCCUCUGAAGGUGAAGUGAGUUUCAUCAGGUGGAGGUGGUGGGUGGAGACUGUGUCCUUAAAUUCCUUACUGUCUGUGGUGAAAGCAUUUUCGGUUGAGACGAACGUGUUACUACAAGUCCAAAGACUUCAGGGAGCAGCAGGAGUCGAAUGUCAACGAUGAGAUCUGUGUGAUCGAUGUAUGAUGUGAGCACCAAAACCUUCACUCAUGGGAAAGGUUUAGGAUGAACUUCACUGACUGAGGAGUUUACUUGGUGAAGACCUUCAGUUCACAUGAUUCAAGACGCCCAAGGGAGGAGAUGAUCUGCAGCGUCCUGGUGAUCUUCAUCCUGACCUCCUGUGUCUGUG